rnacentral:lncRNA from 1 species
UACACAUCUACAUUCCUAAGAUCAAAUUGGUACUGCACUCUUUUUAUCACAUAUAUUGACUUGAACUAUCAGGCAAUGUGAAAUUCUAGAGAUGGCUCAUGCGGGUUCAAAAAUUGUCAUUCCACCAACUCCGUGGUGUGGCACUUAGCUCUUACACUUUCGGUUGAUUAUUGGCUGCUCGUGGUGUAGCACUUAACUCUCACACUUCCGGUUGAUUAUCGACUCUGAUAGCAAAUAUAAUGAUCCGACCAACUAACAAUAAUAAUUUGUUGGGUUCAAACUAUUGGACCAAAAUACUUGAGCUCAGUUAUUGUUAUAAGUAGUGUUCGUGAUCCUCAUAUACCUAUAAUUUCUUUUCCAUCCGAUGUGAGACUAUUGGGACGUUACGCGUUUGGUAUCAAGAAUUUUAUAAUGUUACUAGG